UACAGAGGGUGCAAACGUUGUUCGGAAUUACUGGGCGUAAAGCGCGUGCAGGCGGCCUUGCAAGUCGGACGUGAAAUCCCACGGCUCAACCGUGGAAGUGCAUUCGAAACUGCGAGGCUGGAGUCCUGGAGAGGAAAGUGGAAUACUCGGUGUAGUGGUGAAAUGCGUAGAUAUCGGGAGGAACACCAGUGGCGAAGGCGACUUCCUGGCCUGUUCUUGACGCUGAGGCGCGAAAGCUAGGGGAGCAAACGGG
rnacentral:rRNA from 1 species